GGGCUUACUUCAGCAGCACAUAUACAAAAACUGGAACAGUAUGGAGGUUCGUAUGGCCCCUGUGCAAGGAUGACCCAAAAACUCACGAAACAUUCUAGGUUUUU